CUACGGAGGGUGCAAGCGUUAUUCGGAAUCACUGGGCGUAAAGGGUGCGUAGGCGGUUUGAUAAGUCUGAUGUGAAAUCCUAUGGCUCAACCAUAGAACUGCAUUGGAAACUGUCAGACUAGAAUACUGAAGGGGCAGAUGGAAUUAGUGGUGUAGGGGUAAAAUCCGUAGAUAUCACUAGGAAUACCGAAAGCGAAAGCGAUCUGCUGGGAAGUUAUUGACGCUGAGGCACGAAAGCGUGGGGAGCAAACGGGAUUAGAAACCCUAGUAGUCC
rnacentral:rRNA from 1 species